GGUUGAGCGGGUCUAGACAGAGGCCAGGACACUUCAAGCUUUAAGGUUCGAGGAAGUGGAAUCCAGCUGCGCCUUCCUGAACACCCACAGAGCCUCUUGCUGGACACCCUCCAAAAGCAACUAGUCAACAGCGUGGGGCUUUGGUGACGUCUAGAUGGAGUAGGCCCUUCCCUCAGGUUACUGUGAGGCAGCCUCGAUUGCUCACCUGGAAGCCCCUCUCUGUGGGCUCUGGGGCAGGCCUGCGAUGGGGAGCUGGGUGGGCGCAGCACAGGGGCGAAGGCGCUCCUCUGCUUGACAGCGCAGAUCAUGUUGACAGAUGGACCCUGGAAGCCUCCUGUAUCUACUCGGGCUCCUGUCUAAGGUCUCCCAGUUCCACCUCUCUACAACCUCAACUGGCAGGCAAUGGACAGCAGGUACAGACUUCCUGGAAGAAGUCUGUGGCCUGAGAAGGUUUUUGACAUCAGAACCAUUGAUACAAAAAUGACUUCAAUCGCUACCCUAUUCUAAUGUCCUUAGUCACGGUCACCAUCUCCUUGAAGAAAAUGCUCAGUGCUAGCAUUUUUCUGGACAUUUUUCAUGUAUCCUUGGACAUAAUGAAGUGUGUCACUUGAUAUCAAUGUCAAGGCCUAGAGAGCUAGUAGCCACAUUUUGCAGAGUUAUGGAGUUCUAGACUUGCUAAUAACAAAUACUGAAGGCCAAGAAGAGACAUAGACAGCUCCAGCACAAUUGGCUAGGACAAUUCUGAUGACAUUUUAGAGACACCUUGGCAAACUCAAUGAGAAUGACACACUGGUGUGGUGUCACAAAGCACCCUGCACGUUGGGAAUGGAUAUGGGCCUGUGUAAGCAUAUUCUGAGAUGGAAACAGGCCUGUGUAGAGCCCAGAAUGUCCCUGCUGAUGGUGAAGCAGGGCAUAAGCGCCUCUGGAAGUUCUGAUCUUAUUGCAUGGGGUGGCCCGGGAUAGACUGUGCACUGGGGCAGCCGUCACUGCUGCCCAGUGCUGUUGUGUCUCCGGGAAAGGGUGAGCCAUGCGAACACAAGGGAAACCUAGAAAAAGGCUGUGAGGUCGACUGUCUCAGAACUGAAAGGAUGUGGAGCAGUGGGACCUGAUCCUGGGCUAAGUCCAGGAGAGACUUGCUUUGGGAGAGACACGUGAAGGCUAUGGCCUGUGUGGACUCUGGCUUAGAGGGACCAUGGGUUUCACAAGUAAAGUCAGGGUCAAAGUAAGUGCCAGGCCUGGUUCAUAGCCUGUAAGAACAGCACCCUUGUAAGGAAAGUUAGGCAGGUGACGAGUCAAGUUAUGUCAGGUAAUGAAAAACAGGGGAAUGGGGAGGCAGAAGUGAAGAACCUGCAGUUGCCACUAUUUCUCGGAUUUAGUAGUGCCCCAGGCCUUGAGGGACAACCUGUCUUGUGACUGUAGAGACGUUUUUACUGGUGAGAAGGGCUGAACAAGGUCUGCCAAGCCUAGUGCUUUAUCACUGUAUGUGUAUAUAAGUAUCUGCUGAGUAAUUCGUUAGUAUUGCAAGGGACUGACAGGCAGUGCAAAACAAUAAAGCAUAAAAAAACCCA